rnacentral:rRNA from 1 species
UACGUAGGGACCAAGCGUUGUUCGGAUUUACUGGGCGUAAAGGGCGCGUAGGCGGCAAUUCUAGUCAUCUGUGAAAUCUCCGGGCUUAACUCGGAACGGUCAGAUGAUACUGCUUUGCUAGAGUGCAGAAGGGGCAAUCGGAAUUCUUGGUGUAGCGGUGAAAUGCGUAGAUAUCAAGAGGAACACCUGAGGUGAAGACGGGUUGCUGGGCUGACACUGACGCUGAGGCGCGAAAGCCAGGGGAGCAAACAGG